UAUAUCUUGUUUUAAGGAUAUUAAUAUAUUAUACCUGGAAAAAACAAAAACAAAAAAAAAACAACAACACUGAUUACAGAAAAUAAGUUUUGCAGUGUUUCUGAAGACAGUGAACAAAGUCAGGUUCAUAUUGUUUUGUUGUCUUUCAGACUGAAGCAUUUGAAGUUUAUAGUGUUGUGGACGCAGGUGUUGCACCUAGAUUGCUUUCUCAAUUGAGGUUGAUACAGGAAUGAAUGUCCAUCACUCACUCUCCACAGAUUUAUUAUGGCAGAAAGUACAACGGCAGCAUUUUCCACAGAGGAGGAUAGAGCGCAUUAUUGAUGAUGUCUACUACAGAAAGGGUCAUUGAAAUGUCACGUUCAUGAAUGAUGUACCAUCAACAUCCGUAUCCAUAAGAAGGGACCAACAGUUGCAUGAUAAAAGUAAGGAGAAAUAGCCCUGUCCAGUGGACUCUAAAGGAUGGACAGUAACAUUCCUGUUUAUAGGCCCAUUUCUGAUGGCUCACACAUUGAUAGCAUCACCUGCAGUAUGUGAUUUGUCAGUGAUAUUGUGGUUUUUAUUUUAUGGCGUGCUCUAAAAACUGACAGGAAACUGCUCUCACAGAAAUGCUGACUUAGAAUGCACAUUAUUUGAGAAUCAAUGACAUGCUGGAGGGAGCUGUGGCAUAGUGAUCAAUAUGCUUUGGUGCUCAAAUAGACAAUUAAGGUUCAGAUUUGUUUUGCAACAUUUUAUUUCUCCUUCUUUCCUUUUCCUUUGUAGUAUAAAAUGGCUCAAAAGUAUUUGAACACUUAAUCCACACUUAAGUUUUUUAUUGUAUUUGAUGGAAAUGUAUUAAACUAAGUUGCAUGGCAUGAGCCGAAGGCUGAUUGUCUGAUUAUGGCACCAGAAGAACACGUUUCCAAAGCCCUUCACUAGUGAAAAUCCUCAGAUGUGAAAGGCAGCAGACAGGGGGGAAAAAGUCAAUUUCACGCUUUAAAGAUCCCUAAUAAAAAGAAACGGGCACUGGUAAAACA
ensembl:lncRNA